GACGAACGCUGGCGGCGUGCCUAAUACAUGCAAGUCGAACGCAGUGGGGACGGGUGAGUAACACGUGGGUAACCUCCCAUCAGAGGGGAUAACACUUGGAAACAGGUGCUAAACCGAUACUGAUGGAUGAACCCGCUGUGCAUUAGCUAGUUGGUGAGGUAACGGCUCACCAAGGCCACGAUGCAUAGCCGCUGGGAGAGGGGGCGCGUCCACAGUGGGACGGAGCGACGGCCAAGACUCCUACGGGAGGCAGCAGUAGGGAAUCUGCGGCAAUGGACGAAAGUCUGACCGAGCAACGCCGCGUGAGUGAAGAAGGUUUUCGGAUCGUAAAACGCUGUUGUUAGAGAAGCGGUAUCUAACCAGAAAGCCACGGCUAACUACGUGCCAGCAGCCGCGGUAAUU
rnacentral:rRNA from 1 species